UACGUAGGGUCCGAGCGUUGUCCGGAAUUAUUGGGCGUAAAGAGCUCGUAGGCGGUUUGUCGCGUCUGCUGUGAAAUCCCGAGGCUCAACCUCGGGCCUGCAGUGGGUACGGGCAGACUGGAGUGCGGUAGGGGAGAAUGGAAUUCCUGGUGUAGCGGUGGAAUGCGCAGAUAUCAGGAGGAACACCGAGGGCGAAGGCAGUGCUCUGGGCCGUAACUGACGCUGAGGAGCGAAAGCGUGGGGAGCGAACAGG
rnacentral:rRNA from 1 species